rnacentral:rRNA from 1 species
GAUGAACGCUGGCGGCGUGCUUAACACAUGCAAGUCGAACGAAGCACUUAAGAUUGAUUCUUCGGAUGACGUCUUUUGUGACUUAGUGGCGGACGGGUGAGUAACGCGUGGGUAACCUGCCUCACACAGGGGGAUAACAGUUAGAAAUGACUGCUAAUACCGCAUAACCCGAUAGGAUCGCAUGUUCCAGACGGAAAAGAUUUAUCGGUGUGAGAUGGACCCGCGUCUGAUUAGCUAGUUGGUGAGGUAACGGCCCACCAAGGCGACGAUCAGUAGCCGGGCUGGGAGGGUGAACGGCCACAUUGGGACUGAGACACGGCCCAAACUCGUACGGGAGGCAGCAGUGGGGAAUAUUGCACAAUGGGGGAAACCCUGAUGCAGCGACGCCGCGGGAGUGAAGAAGUAUUUCGGUAUGUAAAGCUCUAUCAGCAGGGAAGAAAAUGACGGUACCUGACUAAGAAGCCCCGGCUAACUACGUG